UACAGAGGUGGCAAGCGUUGUUCGGAAUUACUGGGCGUAAAGGGCGCGUAGGCGGCCCGUCAAGUCCCGUGUGAAAGCCCCCGGCUCAACCGGGGAACGGCGCGGGAAACUAGCAGGCUUGAGUUCGGAGAGGGAAGCGGAAUUCCGGGUGUAGCGGUGAAAUGCGCAGAUAUCCGGAGGAACACCGGUGGCGAAGGCGGCUUCCUGGACCGACACUGACGCUGAGGCGCGAAAGCUAGGGGAGCAAACGGG
rnacentral:rRNA from 1 species